rnacentral:rRNA from 1 species
UACGUAGGGUCCAAGCGUUGUCCGGAUUUACUGGGCGUAAAGAGCGCGUAGGCGGUCUGUUAAGUGUAGAGUGAAAUCUCCAGGGCUCAACCCGGAAACUGCUCUGCAUACUGGCAGACUGGAGGGAUGCAGAGGUGAGUGGAAUUCCCAGUGUAGCGGUGAAAUGCGUAGAUAUUGGGAGGAACACCAAUGGCGAAGGCAGCACUCUGGGACGUGACUGACGCUGAGACGCGAAAGCGUGGGGGAGCAAACAGG